UGAGAUUCGGCACACUGAUGCUUCGAU
rnacentral:sRNA from 1 species